rnacentral:tRNA from 3 species
GCAGUCGUGGCCGAGUGGUUAAGGCGAUGGACUUGAAAUCCAUUGGGGUCUCCCCGCACAGGUUCGAAUCCUGUCGGCUGCG